AUUGAACGCUGGCGGCAGGCCUAACACAUGCAAGUCGAACGAGUGGCGGACGGGUGAGUAAUGUCUGGGAAACUGCCCGAUGGAGGGGGAUAACUACUGGAAACGGUAGCUAAUACCGCAUACCAUCGGAUGUGCCCAGCUGGGAUUAGCUAGCAGGGGGGGUAAUGGCUCCCCUAGGCGACGAUCCCUAGCUGGUCUGAGAGGACGACCGGGCACACUGGAACUGAGACGCGUUCCAAUCACCAACGCGAGGCAGCAGUGGAGAAUAUUGCACACUGGGCGCAAGCCUGAUGCAGCCAUGCCGCGUGUAUGAAGAGGGCCUUCGGGUUGUAAAGUCCUUACAGCGAAGAGGCGUUACUCGCAGAAGAAGCACCGGCUAACUACGUGCCAGCAGCCGCGGUAAUAC
rnacentral:rRNA from 1 species